rnacentral:rRNA from 1 species
AGGAUGAACGCUGGCGGCGUGCCUAAGACAUGCAAGUCGAGUGGGUUUAGACCCACGGCGAACGGGUGAGUAAUACCUAGGAAUGUAUCUUUAGUUGAGGAUAUCCCACCGAAAGGUGGAGCAAUACUCGAUGUGAUCCGAUGUAAAAGUCGGAUUAAAGUCGCAAGACGCUAAAGAAGCAGCCUGGGCACCAUCAGCUAGUUGGUAAGGUAAAAGCUUACCAAGGCUAUGACGGUUAGGGGUCCCGAGAGGGAUAACCCCCACACUGGAACUGCGACACGGUCCAGACUCCUACGGGAGGCAGCAGUUUGGAAUUUUGGACAAUGGGCGAAAGCCUGAUCCAGCGACGCCGCGUGGACGAUGAAGGCCUUCGGGUUGUAAAGUCCUUUUGCUCGGAACAUUUUGAGCGUACCGAGAGAAUAAGAGGUUGCUAACUCUGUGCCAGCAGCCGC